AUCUCUUUGAAUCUCUUUUACUACCAGACAAAAAUUUUAAGACUUAGAGCCUGUUUCGAAAGGAAGCAUUACUCCAUGAGUUUUUAUCAUAAACCCCUCACUCUAAGCAGGCCCUGACCUGCAGCAUCAAUAUAAACACUUCAGUAAUGUCCACCAAGGUACUUAGAGUCAAUAGAACCAUAAAUCUUGAGAUAGUGAUCCAUUAUUUACUAUACAGCAACAAAGUCUGGACAGAGUCUCUUGUAGUUGUAGCUUCUUAUCAUGGUACAUCACUGAAAAACUAGAGCUGCUCAGACUUCAUCAGUCUUUAAAGCAGUGUGCAGUUCUUCUUUUUCUUGAAUGAUGCAGGAGAGCUACAUGUCAUUUCAUUAAGAGAAGCAGUGUGCACUUCUUAAUUGUGUUUUCAGAAUAUUCUGAUCAAUAGCUGUAUUCUAAUUUUGUACUUUCAUGUUUUCUUCCCCAAAAGAGAGAUUCAUAUCAUCAUAACUAUUUUAUUUCUCGAACAUGCAGGAGAGUUGUGUAUCAUAUAUUAUCAUGGCUAUCAAUGUAAACUUAACUUUGAAACCAGUUAUGGAAAAAAAUCCU
rnacentral:lncRNA from 7 species